rnacentral:rRNA from 1 species
UACGUAGGGCGCAAGCGUUAUCCGGAAUUAUUGGGCGUAAAGAGCUCGUAGGCGGUUUGUCGCGUCUGCCGUGAAAGUCCGGGCUCAACUCCGGAUCUGCGGUGGGUACGGCAGACUAGAGUGAUGUAGGGAGACUGGAAUCCUGGUGUAGCGGUGAAAUGCGCAGAUAUCAGGAGGAACACCGAUGGCGAAGGCAGGUCUCUGGGCAUUAACUGACGCUGAGGAGCGAAAGCAUGGGGAGCGAACAGG